rnacentral:rRNA from 1 species
UCUGUAGCUGGUCUGAGAGGAUGAUCAGCCACACUGGGACUGAGACACGGCCCAGACUCCUACGGGAGGCAGCAGUGGGGAAUUUUGGACAAUGGGGGCAACCCUGAUCCAGCCAUUCCGCGUGAGUGAAGAAGGCCUUCGGGUUGUAAAGCUCUUUCGGCAGGAACGAAACGCGAGCUCUAACAUAGCUCGCUAAUGACGGUACCUGAAGAAGAAGUACCGGCCU